rnacentral:misc_RNA from 1 species
GAUGAAGAACGUAGCGAAAUGCGAUACUUGGUGUGAAUUGCAGAAUCCCGUGAACCAUCGAGUCUUUGAACGCAAGUUGCGCCCGAAGCCAUUAGGCCGAGGGCACGCCUGCCUGGGCGUCACACGUCGUUGCCCCCCCAUCUACUCCUUCGGGAUUGCGGGGGGCGGAUGAUGGCCUCCCGUGCGCCUCGCCGCGCGGUUGGCGUAAAUGCCAAGUCCUCGGCGACGCACGCCACGACAAUCGGUGGUUGCGAAACCUCGGUUGCCCGUCGUGUGCGGUCGUCGCGCAUCGAGGGCUCGAAAAAAUUGCCGGGUUCCGGCUCGGCUUUCAACGCGACCCCAGGUCAGGCGGGGUUACCCGCUGAAUUUAAGCAUAUCAAUAAGCGGAGGA